CCUUACAUCAGUUCUGUAAAUAGUAACCCUAAUAAUUACGCCCAGCGCCGGGUCGCAUGAUCCAUCAGUCAGGCCACAUCAGAGCGUGUCAGAGUUUGUCAGGUGUAUCAUUUUUGUUACCUGCAUCAUUCCCCCACACCCCCGGAACAGGUAACACACCCGAAGGGGGUAAUUUCAUGAAGGCACAGCUCCCCUUGAUCCCCUUGAUCCCCUUGAUCCUCCUCUUGAUCCCCUUGGUCAAGCCCCCAGGAGGCCAGAGGGCACAGGUCUGUGCAGUGAUGGAGAGGAUUUGGAGGGACACACGGAAGAUACCUGGCUGCUCAGGCACCUCAAAAUCUGGGACUCCGAUGCCCCCACUUUAUCUCAGGCCCCACAUGGAAGUACUCAGACCCACGAAGCAUUUACUGAGCACCUGCUGGGCACAGGUUGCUAUCGGCACUCUACAGAACGCAGGAAGAGUCCAAGAGAUGAGGACUCCCUGGGAGGGUCUAAUCACUCACUGAGGCAGGAAACAGUCUCCCCACAUAGCGCAGAGACGCUCAUCACUGCCUGCACUUCCAGUGGCUGCAGACUGCUGCUCUGAGGCUCCGAGCACAGCAGGUGAGCCGAGAAAGGGGUAUCCUCGCCUCCCAGCACAUGCAUCCACGGCUUUCCCACACCCUCGCAACACACUCUCUGUGUCCUCUUCCAGCUCCAUCUCCAUAUCCUUGGGGUGAGAACAAAUCCCCCUCCCGCCCCCCGCUUGUAACUUCAGGGUUAUGGGCAUCAUUUUGGGCAGAAGUGUGUACGGAGGCUGAUAGAAUCUUCUCUGAUGAGAUCCAGCCAGCCCAAUCCCUCCUCUAUCAGAACGCCUUGUUUACCCAUUAGUGGCUCUUUGGACACUAGCAGCAGACAGGCUGGCUCCAGGGCAUUUAAAAGGUCAAGAAUCAAGGGCCCAGGAAGGCAGUCAGCUGGGAUUCGGAUCAACAAAGUUUCCAAAGAUGAACAUGGUUUUCUAAAUGCACCAGCAACGUGCUCUGUCCCAGAAGAGAAGAAAACCACUGGUCAGAGGUGAUCUUCUCCAGGAAGCAAUCUUUCUCUGCCACCUGAGAUGGCCAGUGAUCCUUGAGUGCCCGCCCUCCAUCGGAAGCACUGGCUAUAUCACUUUGACCUUGGGGAAAUGUUCUGGGAAAAGCUGCUGCCUUGGAGAAACUGAGGCAGUAAAAUCAAAUGAAAAUCUGCCCUGGUGCUGGAUCCCGUGUGGUCCUCGAGAGCAAAGUCUCAUUCCAACCAGGAGGAAUCGUGAGGACUUAAUCGUAACAAGCAGAGCCUUUUAAAAUCCCUUCCGUGCCCUGGGUAUUUCUGCGGAACACGGUCCACAAUACUCCCCUUUAACACAACAACCCAAAGGGGUACGCUCUCUCUUCCCCGUGUUAUAGGUGAGGCUCAAAGAGGAGAAGUUAUCCAGCUAGUUAAGUGGUGGAGUUAGGAUUUGAACCCGGGUCUCUAAAUCUAGGCUGGCCCCAUCCCUAUGCUGAGAGGAAAGAGCCCCAGCCCAGCAGCUGGGAGUGAUCGAGGGGCUGGGGCUGAGAGCUCACGGAGCUCGGACUGGAGGGAAAGGAUGUAUUUGUUCCUUGUUUGUUUUUCCCAGCGCAGUUCGCAGUUUGGGGGAGAGGAGCUCUAACAGGCUGAACUGGUCAGACGGGGGUAACACACGUGGCCCAACUAGAAGGGAGAGGAUGACUCACCACUCGAAUGGUUGUUAGCUGGCAGGAAACACCAUGGGAGAGAAGCUUGUCGGCCAGUAUCUUCGAGGAAGAAACUCCCCUCAUUUUAUAAUGUGGAAACUGAGACCCAGAUGGAAAGCGUCCUGCCCAAAUAUGGACUGGGAUUAUUGGUUUCCUGGUCCCUAGAACACUUCUUUUUCCAGUAACAACCAUAAUAAUAACAAAAGCCGCCAACAUUUUACUAAGUACUUCAUAUGUGUCAAGCUCUGUGCCAAGCAUCACAUCUAUUCCAUUGCAUUACGUUAUAUUACAUUAUAUUAUAAUUGUGAUACAUAUAAUUAUAUAUUAAAACUGUGUGAUCUUGUACAAGUCCCGUAAAUUAUGAGUCUUGGGUGGUGGUUGUUUUUUUUUUUUUUUUAAUCUGUGAAUAGGAGAAACCAGUUAUCGGAGCUGUUAAAUGUUAUACAGAGUUCAUAAAGUAACAUCAAUAAAGUGGAGC
rnacentral:lncRNA from 12 species